UUUUUAUGAUGAAAAACUAAAUUUCAGUUCUGCUUCUGAACCAAAAAAUUCUGAAGAUAACCCAUUACCAAAGCUCAAUUUCUGACAA
rnacentral:snoRNA from 20 species